GGAUUAGAUACCCUGGUAGUCCACGCUGUAAACGAUGAGAACUAGACGUUGGGCGGAUAACCGCUCGGUGUCGCAGCUAACGCAUUAAGUUCUCCGCCUGGGGAGUACGGCCGCAAGGCUGAAACUCAAAGGAAUUGACGGGGGCCCGCACAAGCGGUGGAGCAUGUGGUUUAAUUCGAAGCAACGCGCAGAACCUUACCAGCCCCUGACAUGGGCGUCGCGGUUCUUGGAGACAGGAACCUUCAGUUCGGCUGGACGCCACACAGGUGCUGCAUGGCUGUCGUCAGCUCGUGCCG
rnacentral:rRNA from 1 species